GACGAACGCUGGCGGCGUGCCUAAUACAUGCAAGUCGAACGAACUCUGGUAUUGAUUGGUGCUUGCAUCAUGAUUUACAUUUGAGUGAGUGGCGAACUGGUGAGUAACACGUGGGAAACCUGCCCAGAAGCGGGGGAUAACACCUGGAAACAGAUGCUAAUACCGCAUAACAACUUGGACCGCAUGGUCCGAGUUUGAAAGAUGGCUUCGGCUAUCACUUUUGGAUGGUCCCGCGGCGUAUUAGCUAGACGGUGGGGUAACGGCUCACCAUGGCAAUGAUACGUAGCCGACCUGAGAGGGUAAUCGGCCACAUUGGGACUGAGACACGGCCCAAACUCCUACGGGAGGCAGCAGUAGGGAAUCUUCCACAAUGGACGAAAGUCUGAUGGAGCAACGCCGCGUGAGUGAAGAAGGGUUUCGGCUCGUAAAACUCUGUUGUUAAAGAAGAACAUAUCUGAGAGUAACUGUUCAGGUAUUGACGGUAUUUAACCAGAAAGCCACGGCUAACUACGUGCCAGCAGCCGCGGUAAUACGUAGGUGGCAAGCGUUGUCCGGAUUUAUUGGGCGUAAAGCGAGCGCAGGCGGUUUUUUAAGUCUGAUGUGAAAGCCUUCGGCUCAACCGAAGAAGUGCAUCGGAAACUGGGAAACUUGAGUGCAGAAGAGGACAGUGGAACUCCAUGUGUAGCGGUGAAAUGCGUAGAUAUAUGGAAGAACACCAGUGGCGAAGGCGGCUGUCUGGUCUGUAACUGACGCUGAGGCUCGAAAGUAUGGGUAGCAAACAGGAUUAGAUACCCUGGUAGUCCAUACCGUAAACGAUGAAUGCUAAGUGUUGGAGGGUUUCCGCCCUUCAGUGCUGCAGCUAACGCAUUAAGCAUUCCGCCUGGGGAGUACGGCCGCAAGGCUGAAACUCAAAGGAAUUGACGGGGGCCCGCACAAGCGGUGGAGCAUGUGGUUUAAUUCGAAGCUGCGCGAAGAACCUUACCAGGUCUUGACAUACUAUGCAAAUCUAAGAGAUUAGACGUUCCCUUCGGGGACAUGGAUACAGGUGGUGCAUGGUUGUCGUCAGCUCGUGUCGUGAGAUGUUGGGUUAAGUCCCGCAACGAGCGCAACCCUUAUUAUCAGUUGCCAGCAUUAAGUUGGGCACUCUGGUGAGACUGCCGGUGACAAACCGGAGGAAGGUGGGGAUGACGUCAAAUCAUCAUGCCCCUUAUGACCUGGGCUACACACGUGCUACAAUGGAUGGUACAACGAGUUGCGAACUCGCGAGAGUAAGCUAAUCUCUUAAAGCCAUUCUCAGUUCGGAUUGUAGGCUGCAACUCGCCUACAUGAAGUCGGAAUCGCUAGUAAUCGCGGAUCAGCAUGCCGCGGUGAAUACGUUCCCGGGCCUUGUACACACCGCCCGUCACACCAUGAGAGUUUGUAACACCCAAAGUCGGUGGGGUAACCUUUUAGGAACCAGCCGCCUAAGGUGGGACAGAUGAUUAGGGUGAAGUCGUAACAAGGUAGCCGUAG
rnacentral:rRNA from 1 species